rnacentral:rRNA from 1 species
AGAAUCAACGCUGGCGGCGUGCCUAACACAUGCAAGUCGAACGCGGUUACCCGCAAGGGGUAACUGAGUGGCGAACGGGUGAGUAACACGUGGGUGACCUACCUUCGAAUGGGGGAUAACGUCCCGAAAGGGACGCUAAUACCGCAUAACAUCCUGUCCUUGAACGGACGGAGAUCAAAGCCGGGGAUCGCAAGACCUGGCGUUUGAAGAGGGGCCCGCGUCCGAUUAGCUAGUUGGUGAGGUAACGCUCACCAAGGCGACGAUCGA